UCAAACUCAAAAUUCUAGGGAUUACUCUCGUUACCCGCUUUCUCCUUCUCUUUCUUCUCUUUCAGUGGUGGAAGUGAAAAUGUUUCGAUCCUUGUGGUGUAGAGUAGGAGCAAAUCUGCAAACUACGACCCCCAUAAAUGGGGUACCUUCUCCAUCAUCAUCUAGGUAUGUUUUCCUCACACAGCAGGAUUCGAAUGUUAUCAAUAGAACUAGGGUUAGUUCCAUACUAAUGGUAAUAAUGUUAGGUCAUAUUCUUCUUCUGAUUCAUUUGUAGUUAAUUAUCUGAAAAUGAAGCUAUUAAUGUCUCUCACAAAAUCAAAUUCAAAACCACAUCCCAACCAGAUUCAGUCUUAACAUUAUUUGAAAACUAUGGAUUCACUAAACUCCACAUUUCAAAACUCAUCACUAAGCGUCCAUCAAGUUUGUUGAUUGAUCCUCUUAAAACCCUAAAACCCAAUUUGGAUUUUUUCAAUUCUAAAGGGCUAGAUGGAAUAAAACUUUCCGAAGGACCCAAACGUUCUGACACUGAGCUUAAUCCCUUCAUUUGAUAUCCUUGAAAGCAUUUCGACCCUUUAGUCGAUGACUGAAGCCACUUGGAGAAAAAAAAUGGAUGUUUACAAGAGACGGGGUUGGUCUGAGGAUCACUUACAUACAGCAUUUAGGAAAUGUCCUUCUUGUAUGUUGGCUUCUGAGAAGAAGAUUACGGCAGUUAUGGAUUUCCUUGUGAAUGAAAUUGGUUAUGAUUCAUUGAUUAUUGCGGAAAAACCAUGGAUUUUCACUAACAGCUUGAAGGAGAGGAUUAUCCCUACUAGGUGCUCUGUUAUAAGAAUUUUAGUCUCAAAGGGUCUGAUUGAGGAAAAAAUUUCUCUGGUAUCACUUGGAAGCCUGACAGAUAAGUCCUUUUCGGAUAAGUGAAGCUCCUGCAUUAAUGAAGGUUUUCCGCGGUGAGAUGAAUAUGGGUCUAAUUAGGUUGAACGACUCCGCCUGUGUAGUUUCUACACAGCCUGUCCCAAGCCAGGAUAAAGGAGGAGGGGGUCGCGAUUGGCGUGGCUAGCAGGUGACUGACCAAAAGAGGGCGAAAAUAGUACUAAGAUGGGUGACCUCUUGGAGAAGUCCCCGUGUUAUAUUUUUUUUGGUUGAAAACCAGCCAUCCUUUGGAAAUGGCGAGAGCAGUACUCAGAGGAACCAUUGUGGUUUGAAGCAUUACUGGGGUCUCAGAGUCAGAGGACAGCACACGAAGACUACAAGUCGCAGGGGUAAGACUGUUGGUGUCUCCAAGAAGCGUUGAGGACUGUUGUGAUUCUUUUGAUCAGAGAAGUUAUUAUGGUCGAGAACUACUUAGCGACCCUGAAUAAGAAAACAUCUAUACUGUUUAACGCAACAAGUUUCAUGCAUCUGUAACAAUCGCUGAUGGCUACUAUAUGCCAAACCUGAGUAUAUCCCUGCCACUCUCUUUCAACUUAAUCAGCUAAGUUCCCAUUAAGACUUUCUUUUCUGCCCACCUUGAUUUUUGUGCUGUUCUUUAAUAUUUUCAAUCUUUAAUGAGGUUGUUAAUUGUAAUAUGGAUUGCAGAAUCUGGAGUAUCCCAACCUCGACUGUAGAAGAGAGGUCCAUUGACGAUUCGGUCUGAACCUCGUGUCAAUGCCAAGACAGCCAAGUUAAACAGUAUUUGUUAUCAUGGAAAAUUUUGAGCCACGUUGUGGCCAUUGUUUUCUGAUUGCUUAUAGAACCAGAAUGCUCUAUAGUCGUAAGCUUCACUAUAAGCAUCGCUAAAUUUCGCCAGUCCAGCUUCGAUUCUUUUCGGAGGAACAUAAACUUCAUUAGGAAAGUGUAAAGACCAGUCGGAAGAUGAUGAUCCGUGACUAACCAAUAAGGCUUAGGGAACCAUCAUGGUCUGAGGCAUUAUUGGUGUCUCAGAGUUCGUGGACAGCAUACCAAGACUACAGGUCGCGGAGGUAAGAUUGUUGGUGUCUCCAAGAAACGUCGAAGACUGGUUGUUAUUCUUUUGAUCUGAGAAGUUCUUAAGGGACCGUCUAUGAAUGUAGCAUCUGCAGCAAUCACUGCUGAGUGUUGGCAACUAUGCCAAACCUGAGUAUAUAGUUGUCCAUGAUGUAUUUCUUACAGCAAAUACCAUGUUGCCUUCUUUCAACUUGAUCAGCUAAGUGCCCCUUUAGAUCUUCUUUUCCGCCCACCUUGAUUUUUGUGUUCCUUAAUAUUUUUAAUCUUCAGCAAGAUUAUAUUUCUUAAUAUUGACUUGCAGAGCCUGGAGUAUUCAAACCUCUGACUGUGGAAGAUAGGUCCAUUGACCAUUCAGUCUGAGCCUCAUGGCGACACACGUAUAGCUUCGCCAAUGCAUGAGUUAUAGUAUAAUAUCUGCAAAGAUAGCCACAACAAAGCUUUUGAAUUAUAGAAUCGCAACGUUGUAUACGCCGGAAGCUUCAUUAUAAGCAAGCAUCACUAAAUCUCGCCAGUCCAGCUCCGAUUCUUUCCGUAGGAACACAAGCUUCGCAAGAUUAUGAUUUUUGAUUAAUCGAUUUCGCUUAGGGAACCUUCGUGGUCAGUGGACAGCACACCAAGACUACAGGUCGCAGGGGUACGACUGUUGGUGUCUCCAAGAAGCAUUGGAGACUGGUUGUUAUUCUUUUGACCGGAGAAGUUUUACGGGACCCUGAUCUCUACAGUUGAAAACAACAAGGUUCAUGGUAAACGUCAGCUUGUUCAGUACUUGUUCGUUGCUGGUAGAAGUGCUAUUGGCUGUCAGCUUGUUCAGUACUUGUUCGUUGCUGGUAGAGGCGCUAUUGGCUGUCAGCUUGUUCAGUACUUGUAGAAGCGCUACUGGCUGUCAGCUUGUUCGUUGCUUGUAGAAGCGCUAUUGGCUGGUAAAUGUCAGCUUGUUCAUUUAGUUUUUUUAUUCAGCAGUCUACUUGCCUUAGUAUUGUUGCUGAAGAAGAUAAAGGGUUCUGACCAAUUCACACUGAGGAUGCUGCUGAGAAAUCCAGUAUACUCUUUGGACGCUCACUGUGUGCGACCAUCCUAACAAUGUACUGGAUCUAUUAUCUAGAUGCCGUUUAUAGAUGCCAUGCUAAAACAUGAGUUUUACUUUUUAGACCGCUCAUGACACUCUUAUUUUUCAACCCUCGUACAUGAAUGUAGCAUCUGCAACAGUCACUUUCUGUGCACAUUGAUUGCUCCAUGAGAUUUGCAGUCUAGAGCAUCCGAAGUUUCCGAACUUCGACUGUGGAAGAGAGGAGGUUCAUUGACCAUUCAGUCUGAGCCUCAUGUCAGUGCCAAGUUAUAUACUAGUAUUUUUUCGAUCACUUAUAGGACCACAAUGCUGUAUAAGUCGCAAGCUUCAGUAAAUCUCAUCAGCCCAGCUUCGGUUCUUUCGCAAGGAACAUAAACUUCAUUAGGAAAGAGUUUAAGACCAGUCGGAAGAUUAUGAUCCCUGAUUAAUUAAUUAUGCAUUUGUGCAGGGACUAUCCCAUGGGGCCUUGAUACAGAAGAAACACGGAAAAUAGUCAAAUACAAACACGGGCUUAUUUACUAGGUCAGCUAUUGCGGUCGAUGGAUGGACGGACGGCAAGAAAGCUGCAGGUUAUGGGGCCAAAGCACAGGAUUUUCUUUCCAGAAAAACUCAUCUCUGUUAGCGAGGAAUUAACUUCUUUGGACUCGGAACGUUGGACUGUCUUGGAUGAUCAUAUUGGUUUCAGGUAUAGCCUUACCCUUCUUUCAUGUGGUGAAGACAGAUACACUGUGCAUCCGACUAAUCAAAUCACACUUUUCCAUCAUAAUUGUACUAUUAUCGGAUUAGGCUGCCAGCUUUUUGUCCUUAUAGUCCCAUGAUUAAAGGGAUGACAACAUUAGCUUUUAAGCAAUGUUUCCAACAGUUGUGUUUAGGAUUGAUUUCAUACUAGUCAUGGACCAUUAACAAAGUUGAGCCACAUAAAAUUUUAGUCGACCAGUUAGUCACUUAGUUGUCUGCGGACAACUUGCUAACCCCACGAGGUCCGAGCACACAAACUUGGAAAAAAAACUAGUUCCUGAGUACUUCAGAAACCAACAAAUAUUGAAUUUUUAGAUGAAACCGAACUUUUUAGAUAAACUACAUUAUGGCUCUCUACUGUGUUUGUUAUUGCACUGCAUGACCGGUAAGAAAGUUGAAUGCCGUAUAUAGACAAGACAAUCCAUUUUCAUUCAACGAAACGUUUGAACAAAAUACUUAAGACUGUACAUAGAGAUGAUCUAAGAGUUGAUUCGUCUCGGAUCAUCCUGAGUUCUAACACUUGCACUUAGAAUUUUUGUACAGCACUUGCAUGUUUUUGAAUAAUAUGGUUCUCAAGGGGUGGAUUUUCAUAGAAUGUGGCCAAAUUCUUUGGGAGGCCAUUGAGAGCUGCAAAUAAGGAGGUCAUUCUCAACAUUUCAACCUGUCAUCAGUACUACUACUACUACAUUAGUGAAUGCAGGUAUGGGCCGUGUGGGCCCCACAAAUAUGAAUGAGUAGAGCCCACAGUGCUCAGCAAUUCAACUGAUUUUUAUGGUUUUUUCUUCUGCAAGCUGCUGCUGGCAGUACUGCUGAUGAGUGAUGACUGGUGAUGUGAUGAGCAAAAAUGGUACUGCAUUUAUCGUGGUAUAUAGACAGUUCGAUGAAGAAGACAAAAAUUACUGUUUUUGUUUUCCUGGUCAUGGAAAAUGGAAAAAUUGAUUAUAUGAGAUUCAAACAGC